CUUCACUAAGUUCAGAAUCAAUAUGGUGACCUUCUGGGAGCAGGGAACUACCAGGUUGCCUAAGGAGGUGUGAACUGGCCCAGACUAGAAACUGAGCAGGUAAAAACUCCCACGCCAAUCAGUAGUGGGA
rnacentral:SRP_RNA from 1 species